AACUGCCACUACCUGUAAAUGAAUAUAUCUUGUGUAAAGUACGUUUAUUUGACAGUUCUAUUAAGGAAAUUUUGAAGCUGCAUUAAGAUAUGUGAACACCGGUGCUAAUAUAUAAUUUUACCGAGAAAGUACGUGUGAGAGAAUUGGACAAGAACACUGGCAUAAAUGGCUUUUUCAUUAUGUGCAUCCCUGCACUAAGAUUGUAUCACUCAAACCAUUUACAUGAAUUAGCGAAAGACAUCGGUCGUUUUUUUCAAGGAAAUUGUCGCCAUUGCAUUUUAAGCAUUUACGCUUAGUGAUAAUUUGUGUAAAACUUUCAAAAGUUUUCUUUGUU
rnacentral:sRNA from 1 species